rnacentral:lncRNA from 1 species
CGUCGAAAUCGCCGGUUAAUCGAGAAUGCUUCAUGAAGCGGUCGUAGGGCGCCUUGAGGCUGUCCGGCGCGCGGUAGCAGGAGUAGUCGACGAGGUAAACGGGUCGGGGGCGGGUCAUGAUGUAGACGGUGGAUCCGAAGACGAGGAAGGCGGAGCAGGUGAUGACCGAGACGAGAUUGUAUUGCAGAUGCAGCCACAGCUGCCGCACGUCAUCGGGAUUCAUCUGCGACGCCUCAAUGAUGAUGAUGACCAUGAUUGGGACCAGACACAGCGUUAUCAAAUGAGAGAUCAAGUAAUGG